GUUUUUCGCUUGAAGAUGAGCCCAUGUGGGAUUAGCUAGUUGGUGAGGUAAUGGCUCACCAAGGCUACGAUCCCUAACUGGUCUUAGAGGAUGAUCAGUCACACUGGAACUGAGACACGGUCCAGACUCCUACGGGAGGCAGCAGUAGGGAAUAUUGCGCAAUGGGGGAAACCCUGACGCAGCGACGCCGCGUGAGUGAUGAAGGCCUUCGGGUCGUAAAGCUCUGUCGUAUGGGACUAACAAAAUG
rnacentral:rRNA from 1 species